rfam:Dipodomys ordii contig_31435, whole genome shotgun sequence.
GGGAAUGUGGCUUAGUGGUAGAGUGCUUGCCUAGCAUGCAUGAAGCCCUGGGUUCCAUUUCUCAGUACCA